GCAGUCGUGGCCGAGUGGUUAAGGCGGUGGACUAGAAAUCCAUUGGGGUUUCCCCGCACAGGUUUGAAUCCUGUCGACUGCG
rnacentral:tRNA from 2 species